rnacentral:rRNA from 1 species
UACGUAGGGGGCGAGCGUUGUCCGGAAUCAUUGGGCGUAAAGCGCGUGUAGGCGGCUCGAUAAGUCCGGUGUGAAACCUUGGGGCUCAACCCCAAGCCUGCACUGGAUACUGCCGAGCUAGAGUCCGGGAGGGGAGAGCGGAAUUCCUAGUGUAGCGGUGAAAUGCGCAGAUAUUAGGAAGAACACCGAUGGCGAAGGCAGCCCCCUGGGAUAACACUGACGCUCAUGCACGAAAGCGUGGGGAGCAAACAGG